rnacentral:rRNA from 1 species
AAAUYCAUUCGCGUUUCGACUMCSGAGUARGAUGAUUAUUGCGACGNAWAGCGGSACUYKUUCCGNUGNUGCGCUUUUCGUUCGUCYACCCGUCGUCGAACGUGUGCACUUUUCCCCUAGUAGGACGUCGCGAUCCGUUGGGUGUUUGUCUAAAAAUCGGAGCGGUGCCCGCGAGUCGUUUACGCGUCACGUGGACCUCUGAAUUUCGACAAACUCGCUCGACGGUAUACUAAAGGCGCGAGGCCGCUAGUGUUACGCGUGCGAAAAUCGCGCGUAGCUGAAUUAGCGUUCGGCCCGUAGCAAGCACGUACCGUUUUGACGGCGAUCGGACCUAGUGCCGAUUCUGUCGCGGGACGACUGUUGGUUUACGGUGUUCUCGAACAGACCUCGUUGAAACGCCGAUCGGCGACGCUAAGCUUGGGAC